UACGUAGGGGGCAAGCGUUGUCCGGAUUCAUUGGGCGUAAAGAGCGUGUAGGCGGCCAGGUAGGUCGGUUGUGAAAACUGGAGGCUCAACCUUCAGAGGUCGACCGAAACCAUCUGGCUAGAGUCCGGGAGAGGAGAGUGGAAUUCCGAGUGUAGAGGUGAAAUUCGUAGAUAUUCGGAAGAACACCAGUGGCGAAGGCGGCUCACUGGACCGGCAUUGACGCUGAGGUGCGAAAGCGUGGGGAGCAAACAGG
rnacentral:rRNA from 1 species